GCUAGCUACAGGCUUAACACAUGCAAGUCGAGGGGAAACGACAUCGAAAGCUUGCUUUUGAUGGGCGUCGACCGGCGCACGGGUGAGUAACGCGUAUCCAACCUGCCCACCACUUGGGGAUAACCUUGCGAAAGUAAGACUAAUACCCAAUGAUAUCUCUAGAAGACAUCUGAAAGAGAUUAAAGAUUUAUCGGUGAUGGAUGGGGAUGCGUCUGAUUAGCUUGUUGGCGGGGUAACGGCCCACCAAGGCAACGAUCAGUAGGGGUUCUGAGAGGAAGGUCCCCCACAUUGGAACUGAGACACGGUCCAAACUCCUACGGGAGGCAGCAGUGAGGAAUAUUGGUCAAUGGACGAGAGUCUGAACCAGCCAAGUAGCGUGCAGGAUGACGGCCCUAUGGGUUGUAAACUGCUUUUAUAAGGGAAUAAAGUGAGUCUCGUGAGACUUUUUGCAUGUACCUUAUGAAUAAGGACCGGCUAAUUCCGUGCCAGCAGCCGCGGUAAUACGGAAGGUCCGGGCGUUAUCCGGAUUUAUUGGGUUUAAAGGGAGCGUAGGCCGGAGAUUAAGCGUGUUGUGAAAUGUAGACGCUCAACGUCUGCACUGCAGCGCGAACUGGUUUCCUUGAGUACGCACAAAGUGGGCGGAAUUCGUGGUGUAGCGGUGAAAUGCUUAGAUAUCACGAAGAACUCCGAUUGCGAAGGCAGCUCACUGGAGCGCAACUGACGCUGAAGCUCGAAAGUGCGGGUAUCGAACAGGAUUAGAUACCCUGGUAGUCCGCACGGUAAACGAUGGAUGCCCGCUGUUGGUCUGAAUAGGUCAGCGGCCAAGCGAAAGCAUUAAGCAUCCCACCUGGGGAGUACGCCGGCAACGGUGAAACUCAA
rnacentral:rRNA from 1 species